rnacentral:rRNA from 1 species
UACGAAGGGUGCAAGCGUUACUCGGAAUUACUGGGCGUAAAGCGUGCGUAGGUGGUUUGUUAAGUCUGCUGUGAAAGCCCCGGGCUCAACCUGGGAAUGGCAGUGGAUACUGGCAAGCUAGAGUGCGGUAGAGGGUAGUGGAAUUCCCGGUGUAGCGGUGAAAUGCGUAGAGAUCGGGAGGAACACCAGUGGCGAAGGCGGCUACCUGGACCAGCACUGACACUGAGGCACGAAAGCGUGGGGAGCGAACAGG